AUGGCUUUUACAUUACAGGAAAGACAAAUGCUUGGUCUUCAAGGACUUCUCCCAAAAUAGAGACACAAGAUAUUCAAGCCUUACGAUUCCACAGAAAUUUGAAAAAAAAUGACUAGCCCUUUGGAAAAAUACAUCUAUAUAAUGGGAAUACAAGAAAGAAAUGAGAAAUUGUUUUAUAGAACACUGCAAGAUGAUAUCAAAAGUCUAAUGCCUAUUGUAUAUACACCAGCAGUUGGGCUUGCCUGCUCACAGAAUGGACACAUCUUUAGAAGACCUAAGGGAUUCUUUAUUUCGAUCUCAGAUAGAGGUCAUGUUAGAUCAAUUGUGGAUAACUGGCCAGAAAAUCACGUGAAGGUGUUGUGGUGACUGAUGAGAGAGAAUUCUGGGUCUUGGAGAUCUGGGUGUUUAUGGGAUGGGAAUACCAGUAGGAAAACUUUGUUUGUAUACAGCUUGUGCAGGAAUACAGCCUGAUAAAUGCCUGCCUAUGUGUAUCGAGGUGGGAACAGAUACUGUAGCACUCUUGAAAGAUCCAUUUUACAUGGGCUUGUAUCAGAAACGAGAUUGCUCACAAUGCUAUGAUGAACUGAUUGAUGAGUUUAUGAAAGCUAUUACUGACAGAUAUGGCCAGAACAUACUUAUUCAGUUUGAAGACUUUGGAAAUCAUAAUGCAUUCAGGUUCUUGAGAAAAUAUCGAGAAAAAUAUUGUACUUUCAAUGAUGAUAUUCAAGGGAAUGCAGCAGUAGCUCUGGCAGGUCUUCUUGCAGUGCAAAAAGUUCUUAAUAAACCUAUCUCAGAAUAUAAGAUCUCAUUUCUUGGAGCAGGAGAGGCUGCUCUUGGAAUUGCAAAUCUUAUAGUUAUGGCUAUGGUAGAGCAUGGCCUCUCAGAAGAAGAGGCACAGAAGAAAAUCUGGAUGUUUGACAAGUAUGGUUUAUUAGCUAAGGGACGGAAAGUCACAAUAGAUAGUCAUCAAGAACUAUUUGUUCACUCAGCCCCAGAGAGCAUACCUGAUACUUUUGAAGACACAGUAAAUAUACUAAAGCCUUUGACUAUAAUUGGAGUUGCAGGUGCUGGCCGUCUUUUUACUACUGACAUAAUCAAAGCCAUGGCCCAUAUCAAUGAAAAGCCUAUAAUAUUUGCUUUAAGUAAUCCUACAGCACAGGCCGAGUGCACAGCUGAAGAAACAUAUACACUUACAGAGGGAAGAUGUUUGUUCGCCAGUGGCAGUCCAUGUGGGCCAGUGAAACUCAAGAAUGGGCAAGUCUUUACACCAGGUCAAGGAAACAAUGCGUAUAUUUUUCCAGGUGUGGCUUUAGCUGUUAUUCUCUGUAACACCCGGCAGGUUAGUGACAAUGUUUUCCUAGAAGCUGCAAAGGCCCUGACAAGCCAAUUGACAGAUAAAGAGCUAGCCCAAGGGAGACUUUACCCACCACUUGCUAAUAUUCAGGAAGUUUCUAUUAGCAUUGCUAUUAAAGUUACAGAGUACCUGUAUGCAAAUAAAAUGGCUUUCCAAUACCCAGAACCUGAGGACAAGGCCAAGUAUUAAAGAAAGAAUAUGGCGAAGUGAAUACGAUUGCCUUCUGCCAGAUGUGUAUGAAUGGCCAGAAUCUGCAUCAUGCCCUCCCCGAUCACAGAAUAGAAGCACUCCCACUGUGAAGUGUUUUCCAUGCUUCAGGGAACUCUUCUUUUCAGACA